rnacentral:lncRNA from 1 species
CCCAGGAGGGUGUGCUGCAGGGCAUGGCCCUGGGAUGGCACGGUGAGGAAGGGUAUGGCUGUGAUGCUGGAGUCACCGUCCCUGCCCUCGUCCCUUCCAGAGCACAGAACUGCAGUAGAUGGAGGUGACAGCGCCAGCCAAGGGGACAUUCAGCAAACAGCACACACUGUGCUUGGGUUAGGGCAGGCCCUGCCAGCAGUGGUGCACAGCGCUGGUCUUCCCACUGGCUCUGAAGCAUCCGGCUCCUUGGGCUGCCGCUGUCACUGUCACAGCACUCAGACACACUGAGGUUCUCCUUGCCCCUGAGCCCACUGUGCACCACAAGCCUUGGGCCACGCAGUUCCUCCUGCCCACAUCCCAGCACUCACCGCUCUGCCACUGUCCUGGGGACAGCCCUGUGCUUCCGCAGCCACCACCUCGAACUCUGACGAGGAGCCACUCGGGGAUUUCUGUGUUCCUGUGUCCGGCUGGGCGCUUCCUGGGGCGGCCAGGGCAGAGCUGUGCUCGGGGCCGGCGGCUCCAGUUUCCACCAGCUCCUCCAAUGCGGACGAUGCUAUCAGCAUCUUGUUGUCCUUCACGAGGUCCUCCGCCUUCUGUCGCAGCUUGGAUGCCUCCACCUGGGACUCCUCCAGCAGCUCUCCGAUAGAUUUGAUCCCCUGCAUCCUCUCCUUCAGCCGGGCGUUCUCCUCUAUCAGCCGCUCGAAUGCCGUGGAUCCAUUCUCCUCCGUGCCCCCGCCGGGGUCGUAGAUGCGGUAGGGUCCCCUCCCUUCCAUGGCCGCCAUUCAGCCGCCCACCUCCCAGCUUGGCAUCCCUGCAGCCGCGGGGCUCCCGGCACCGCUCCGCUGCGCUCCGCCGCCAAUACGGGAGGAAGAAACGGCGCAGCAGCGCUGGGCCCGCCCCCGGGAAAUUCCCAGCAUGACGGACAGGAGCCGCAGCCAAUCGGAGCGGGCGGUGCGGGUUAUAAUGAGGACGGGUGGGACGGCUGGGUGUAAUGGCGGACGUUGGGGGGUGCGCGUGGUGCGGGCUGCGUGCGCUGCUCGUCAUCGCUCUUGGGGGCUCGGAGGGGUGCUGGGUCCCGGCCUUCCUCCAUCUGAGAGGGUUCUCUGUGAGAGGAGAGGCAGGCCCGAGGCUCUCGGCCCUUCAGGUGGCUUGCAGAGAGACAAAAUGGCUUCUCGCUGCCUUCCUGAAGGCUGGUGCAGGCCUCUGCUGCGGGCCGGGGAGGAGCUGGGGAAGGGGCUCUGCCGCAGAGCCGGGCCUUCCCCUCAGCGUGAGGCCCACCCUGUCCUUCCUCAGCCAGGCCAGGGAGAAUUCCCCACUGAGUCUAAUUACAGAGGAGUGAUUACAGCCCUCCGGCUGCAGCAGCGAUUACCAGCAGCGCCGUCUCCGUGCUGCUGCUUUGUGUGUCGCCUGCUUGCUAACAGCAACAUCAGCCGGAGGAGCAGGAACCGCAGGGAACGCCUCUUGGCUUCAGCAGUUCUCUGGGACUUGCCAAGUCGCCACCAGGUUCUCUGUCCUGGUUUUGUCGUGAGGGAGGUGUUAGGUAUUCAAUAAACAAAGGAGCUGCUGUAAGCAGGCGUCCUCCUUCUGGAGGGGCCUGCUGUGCUCCUGGGGUGGCUUUCACUUAUAGCUGUUUUCCAGCUGUCCCAAUCCUGGCUUCCUAGGCUCUAUGCCGUUCCAUUGUUUCCUGGCAAUUUGAGGUUUUGGGGCACUGCCUGGGUUAUAAAAAGUAAAAGAAAACAAAUUCUGUUCCCACCCAAUUCAAUGCCCUGCUUGUUUUCCUCUCUGAGCAGGACGUUGCCCUUGAAGCCUGGCUGGGUUAUGGUUAUGCUGGUGUGCUGUGUGGGUGUGCCGUGUCCAAGGUCUCAUCAGGGGAUGGGGUGAAGAGCCGAGCAAGCGACGUUUCCCUUUUUCUCCAUCACAUUCCUUGUUUUCCUCCAGAGACGCAGAACUGUUCUGUGAACCCUCAGAAAACCUGGCUUCCGCACUAAGCGUAAUCCCACAGACCCAGAAAGCAUCUUGUUGAUAAAACAGUGUCCCAGCCUGUAACAAAUAGCCAAACCCUCCUCUAUUUCUCUGAAAGCAGAGGAGGUGGCACAGCUCCAAGCUGACAACUGAGAGCUGCCUGCCUUCCACUCCAUCCCGAGAAAAGCAUCCUGCUACUCACCUGGCUGGGCUCGGGGAGGGAGAGCCUGUCUGUCUGGGUGCUCAGUCCUGGGUGCUGUGAUCCCCGACUGCAGGAAGGCUGGCUCAGCUGAGUUUACUUUUAGGCAUGGAGAAGGGGAAUUCCCCAUGAUGGAGGCCCCAGACAGCCUCUGGGUGGUUUUGAUAGGCAGCCAGGCAGCACUUAAAGGGCUCUCCUGUGCCAUUCCUUCCACACUGAGGGGCCGCUGAGCAGUGUCAGGUAUUAGUCAGCAAAAGGGGGGUGUCGUGGGGACUGUGAUUCACUUUGAGACUACUAAAGAAACUGAUUACCUCACUGUCAUCAUUUGAUUUCUGAGCGAUUUCAGCAGGUUUGCAAACAGUGGGUACUUCUCCC